rnacentral:misc_RNA from 1 species
UGUGAUUAGGGAAACCAUAGCUUCUUCUGCGUCUAUGUCAAUGCAGGUGACUGGACCAUCCCCAUUCGUUUCCCUGAAUACAAAUCUCACACGUGACACGACUAGAAUAAAAUUUUCAAAUAAUCUGUCCAGCGACAUGGGCCACUUCAUUAGCUAUUUCAGCAGCACAAUCAAGUUUUGUGUUGUUUAACACCAAUGAUGCAAAUCAUCCAAAACUGUUUCCAUCUGUACAGAUUCUAGGGAUAACUCUAGAAGGAUUA